rnacentral:rRNA from 1 species
CCUACGGGAGGCAGCAGUGGGGAAUAUUGCACAAUGGGGGAAACCCUGAUGCAGCGACGCCGCGUGAGUGAAGAAGUACUUCGGUAUGUAAAGCUCUAUCAGCAGGGAAGAAAAUGACGGUACCUGAGUAAGAAGCCCCGGCUAACUACGUGCCAGCAGCCGCGGUAAUACGUAGGGGGCAAACGUUAUCCGGAUUUACUGGGUGUAAAGGGAGCGUAGACGGCAGUGCAAGUCUGGAGUGAAAGGCGGGGGCUCAACCCCCGGACUGCUCUGGAAACUGUACGGCUGGAGUGCAGGAGAGGUAAGUGGAAUUCCGAGUGUAGCGGUGAAAUGCGUAGAUAUUAGGAGGAACACCAGUGGCGAAGGCGGCUUACUGGACUGUAACUGACGUUGAGGCUCGAAAGCGUGGGGAGCAAACAGGAUUAGAUACCCCUGUAGUC